UCAUAUACAUCAACUAUCACAUGAGUGAAUUAUAAAGAUGAUGAUUACAUGUGAAGCUAAGACAUCAGAAGCAUGCAAAUAAUGGAAUGUGCUUACAAAUAUAUAAAAGUGAUUAACCUUAAAAAGAAUCACCCUCCCCUCUAUACCUCAGAUCCCAUCUCCUAAUUCUCAAUAGAAAAAGAAGGUAAGAAAAUGCAUCUAGAAUGUGCUGGGGCUGAAUGGAGUUUUUUUUUUUAACCCCCUCCAGGGGUCUGCAGAGAACACAGGAUGGCACUGAUUGAUGUCUUUGAACCUGCAGAGCUUCGAGGUGUCCUGGGUCACACAUUUGUCGUGCACAGAGACACCUCACCAUGGCUGUUGGCUCCCAGGCAGCCUGAGAGCCCACCUGUGAAGAUCAAGUCCACCGGGCUCCAGAGAGCUUAGGAUCAGCAGUGGAGAUCAAACAGGCCCUCUCCGUGGUCAAGCAGCAGCGCGCUUUUGCAGUUUGUUUAAAGUUAUCCAGACCUCCUAUCAAAUGCCCCCGUGUCAUCUCCCCCAGCAAACCAUCAGCCUGACUCUUCUUUGACGUCGCCAAGGCCUCUCACACCCGUUGGCUCAGCUGACCAGAGUCCUUUCCUGGCUUUCAUCUCAGUUCACGACUGACAAGCCCAGUGGAGGCUGAAAACCCAACCUGAGCCUUAGGAUGAAGAGAUACAUGAGCAAGGGCAGCCAGCCAUAUGAGAACAUGAAUCAGGAAGAUGGAGGGAGGCUGGGAGAACAGCAGAGACUGAUGCCUGACAUGGUUGCACUCAACCUGUUCUUAACUGAUGAGUUUGGGCGAGUUGAGUAACCAAGGACAUUUCCCACUGUCAGUAUGCAGUACAGAUAACCCUCGAACAACACAGGUUUGAAUUGCACUGGUCCACUUACACAUGGAGACUUUUCAAUAGAUACAUUGGAAAAAUCUUUUGGAGAUUUGUGACAACUUGAAAAACCUGCAGACAAAUUGUAUAGCCUAGAAAUAUUGUGAAAAAAGUAAUAAAAUUUAGGUAUGUCAUGAAUGCAUCAGAUAUAUGUAGAUACCUACCUUUACAUAGGCAUAAGGUGAGUGAUAUUUAAUAUUAAGAUUAAUAAUGUGUUCAUUUUCUUACUGUUCUAUAACUUUGUUUUCAAAGAAUUACCAUGCAGUCUGUGUCUCUCUUGUAACUGGAGAAGUUGUGUAUCAUUAUCAUUAGGGGUAAGUAAUUUUUAUAAAAAUGUAACAGUGCUUUCACUAGUUUAUUAUUAUGACUGAAACACUGCAUGCCAUAAAAACGUUAUAACCAUUCAUCAGUCUAUCAGCGACACUAGGCAGUAUAAAGUAAUCAUAUUGCUGCUUUUUUGUUAUCAGUGCAUGAAUCAUUAUAUUGGGCUGACCAAAGAGUUCGUUCAACCCAAUAUCUGUAAAUAAAUACAAAUUUCUGUUUCACAGUAUCUUUUAAUUUUUGGUGUCUAGUAUUAGUAAUACAUAUAACAUCUACAGUAUUUUGUAUCCACUUAUUCAGUAUUGAUGUAGGUACUAACAAAUGAUUCAUCUCAUAAACAGAUGAUGGAAAUUUAUAGUAUCCUAUAGUAAAUGUAAUUUCCAUCCCUUAUAAUUUUCAUUACAUUCACUUUUUUGUAAGAAUUAUAUAAUACAUACAACCUACAAACUGGGUGUUAACUCUUGUGUUCUUGGUAAGGCUUUCGGUGAACAGCUGGCUAUGAGUAGUGAAGUUUGGGGGCAGUGACAAGUUAUAUGUAGGGACUUCCCUGGUGGUCCACUGGUUAAGACUCUGCCUUGCAAUGCAGGGGACACAGAUUUAAUCCCUGGUUGUGGAACCAAGAUCCCACAUGCCAUGGGGCAGCCAACCCCUGACAUGGCCAAAUAACAAGUUAUAUAUGGAUUUUCAACUGUGUGUGUGUGUGUGUGUGUCAGGGGGUGGAGCUUAGCCCCUAACCUCUAUGUUGUUCAAGGAUCAACUAUAUUUUAAGAACUUCUGGAAAAGUUUGUAAAACCUGAGAGGCAGUACAGUGUGGUCACAAGGACAUCCCACUGUUGUCCAACCUGGGCUGAGAUGGUUAACCUCCCAGGCCUCAGCUUCCCUGCCCGUGAAACUGGGCAGCUUCUUGGUUGGGCUGUGAGCAUGGAGUGAGGGAAUGUGUAGCAGGUGGUUAGCCAGGGCCAAGCUCAGCCUAAACUGCUUAGUAAUCGUUCGCUUUUCUUAUGUUGUUCUGUAUGUAUGUCAACCUGUAUUUUGUGUAUUCAAAGACAAGACUGACCUACUCUCAUUUAAACCCCACUGUUCCCCAGGACAACUUCCCAGGUGGCUCAGUGGUAAAGAACCUGCCUGCCAGUGCAG